AGUGAACGCUGGCGGUAGGCCUAACACAUGCAAGUCGAACGGCAGCACAGUAAGAGCUUGCUCUUACGGGUGGCGAGUGGCGGACGGGUGAGGAAUACAUCGGAAUCUUCUUUUUCGUGGGGGAUAACGUAGGGAAACUUACGCUAAUACCGCAUACGACCUACGGGUGAAAGCAGGGGAUCUUCGGACCUUGCGCGAUUGAAUGAGCCGAUGUCGGAUUAGCUAGUUGGCGGGGUAAAGGCCCACCUAGGCGACGAUCCGUAGCUGGUCUGAGAGGAUGAUCAGCCACACUGGAACUGAGACACGGUCCAGACUCCUACGGGAGGCAGCAGUGGGGAAUAUUGGACAAUGGGCGCAAGCCUGAUCCAGCCAUACCGCGUGGGUGAAGAAGGCCUUCGGGUUGUAAAGCCCUUUUGUUGGGAAAGAAAAGCAGCAGGUUAAUACCCCGCUGUUCUGACGGUACCCAAAGAAUAAGCACCGGCUAACUUCGUG
rnacentral:rRNA from 1 species